rnacentral:rRNA from 1 species
CGGCGAGUGAAGCGGGAACAGCUCAAAUUUGAAAUCUGGCCCUCGGGUCCGAGUUGUAAUUUGUAGAGGAUGCUUUUGGUGCGGUGCCUUCCGAGUUCCCUGGAACGGGACGCCUUAGAGGGUGAGAGCCCCGUACGGUUGGACGCCUAGCCUCUGUAAAGCUCCUUCGACGAGUCGAGUAGUUUGGGAAUGCUGCUCUAAAUGGGAGGUAUAUUUCUUCUAAAGCUAAAUACUGGCCAGAGACCGAUAGCGCACAAGUAGAGUGAUCGAAAGAUGAAAAGCACUUUGAAAAGAGGGUUAAAUAGCACGUGAAAUUGUUGAAAGGGAAGCGUUUAUCACCAGACUUUUUCUAGGGGGAUCAUCCGGUGUUCUCACCGGUGCACUUCCCCUAGUUGAGGCCAGCAUCGGUUUUCGGAGGGGGAUAAAAGUUUCGGGAAUGUGACUCCCCCGGGAGUGUUAUAGCCCGUUACAUAAUACCCUUCUGGGGACCGAGGUUCGCGCAUCUGCAAGGAUGCUGGCAUAAUGGUGAUCAACGACCCGUCUUGAAACACGGACCAAGGAGUCGAACAUUUAUGCGAGUGUUUGGGUGUCAAACCCUCACGCGUAAUGAAAGUGAACGGAGGUGAGAGCCCUUACGGGUGCAUCAUCGACCGAUCCUGAUGUCUUCGGAUGGAUUUGAGUAAGAGCAUAACUGUUCGGACCCGAAAGAUGGUGAACUAUGCGUGGAUAGGGUGAAGCCAGGAGAAAUCCUGGUGGAGGCUCGCAGCGGUUCUGACGUGCAAAUCGAUCGUCAAAUCUGCGCAUGGGGGCGAAAGACUAAUCGAACCAUCUAGUAGCUGGUUACCGCCGAAGUUUCCCUCAGGAUAGCAGUGUUGUAUUCAGUUUUAUGAGGUAAAGCGAAUGAUUAGGGACUCGGGGGCGCUAUAUUGCCUUCAUCCAUUCUCAAACUUUAAAUAUGUAAGAAGCCCUUGUCGCUUAAUUGGACGUGGGCAUUCGAAUGUAUCAACACUAGUGGGCCAUUUUUGGUAAGCAGAACUGGCGAUGCGGGAUGAACCGAACGCGAGGUUAAGGUGCCAGAGUAGACGCUCAUCAGACACCACAAAAGGUGUUAGUACAUCUUGACAGCAGGACGGUGGCCAUGGAAGUCGGAAUCCGCUAAGGACUGUGUAACAACUCACCUGCCGAAUGUACUAGCCCUGAAAAUGGAUGGCGCUCAAGCGUCUCACCCAUACCUCGCCCUCAGGGUAGAAACGAUGCCCUGAGGAGUAGGCGGCCG